AUUAACACUUACUUAUACAGUGGGUGUGUCCAGGGGGUGGUGGGAGUAUUACUGGUGAGGAGGUCCUCAGUUCAGCGUGACACUGACCAGCUCUCUGCACAGAUAUAUCUCCUCCACACCUGAUCUCUUCCAACUCUGUAGCUCUAUUCACCAUUAUGGCCGUGCUGUGGAUCCAAACUGCAUUUCUGCUGGUUUUACUGGUCAUGUCGCAGCCAAGCUCUUCGUACUCUGUGUCGCCACUGUCGCUUUGUGGCUCUGAGCUGAUCGACAUCCUCAACUUUGUUUGUGAAGACAGAGGUUUCGGACUAUCAGCGCUGAGCCGUCGCUCCAAUAAAAGGGAGAGGGACAGGCAAAUAUCAACACUUAUGAAAUGCUGUGGAGCUGUAGACUGCAACCUCAAUGACCUGGAGGAAUUCUGCCUUCCAGAAAGACACAAGGAAGCUAGAAAUUAGUGUUGACUUUGUUUACCUAGCCUUGUUUAGCAUAGCUAAGCUUCUUGACAACCUAUCAGCUCACCAGCAGUGCUGCCAUCUCACUGUAAAGUCAACUGUUCAUAGUUUGACCAAAUUAUUUUUCAGCAAAAAUAAAGUGUUGUAACUGAGGAAGACAGUUGUUCUUUGAAAGUUUUUUUUUUAAUAAUUAUUAAUAUUGCAAAUGUCACACUCGCUAUAAGUCACAUAAUAAUAAAUACCU
ensembl:lncRNA